ACAAGGGUGCCAGAUUAUAUGGGGUUGGUUUAGGACUAAUUUAUGGUGCGUUGCCCCUUUGUG
rnacentral:tRNA from 1 species